CAGUUGUCUCACCACAUGUAUGACCACCAGAGCCCUGGCCCGUCUCCAUGCCUCGUGCGCACCGCACGCCUCGCCGCUAUUACCGCGUUGAGCCUCCGCUGUCCCGGUCGAGUCUCAAGGGUCGUGAAUCCACACCACUCAACCCCCACUGCAGAGUACCACCGAUCAUCACCGACCGAUGACGAGUUUGACUCUUCCAUCAGACCACUGGGCUCCAGUCCGAAUUACAUGUCCCUCGCUUUUCCCCCUUGCUGAAUAGGCUUUGAUUCCCUGGAUCCUUACACCGUAGCCCCUUAAUCCAGCUCCACCUUCAACAUGACUCCAUGGUAGAUGACCAGUCCACCCUCGCGUCCCGUCGACUUCAAGCUCACAUGCAUACGCCAUCUUGAAUCAACCCCACGCCAUAGUCUUGUCGAAGUCACACAAGCCCUCGGGCCUGCGUCACGUGUUUCCACGCCCAGAAGUCGGUCACCAUCAGCAUCACGCUCCUAUGUCGUCGUCGCCGAUCCCACCACCGUCUUCUGUAUCAAUCGACUCACGUCGAUCCGUCAGACUGUCUAAUCCGACCCAGCCGAUCUCGUUCGACUGUACGACACACUCGAGGCUCUCAUACCGUCUUCCACGAAUUCCCAUCCAUCACAUGAUACUUCCCAUCUCAGCUGACAUGACUUCCCACAACGCCUUCAAGCAUCCCUGUUGUGCCAACAAAUCUUUCACCUUUGUCUGCCAUAACCCAAGGUUUUCAGUUCCGUGAACUUCUCCACCUCAAACCCGGAACCCGUUGAUGUCCUGGUUCUUCGUACGGCUGACCCUGUGAAAAAACUAUCCAAGCUUUCCACGCCAUGCUACUAGCAAAACCAACCAACUUGGUCUUCACGUGAGCAGCUCCUGUCUUGGCUUUAACUCCUGAUGCUAAGCUAAUUGCUUUUUGCCUUGCCAACCAUCCUUGCUAGUCCAUGAUGGAUGUAUCAAUGGCUUUUUCCUUCGCAAGAGAUUUGAUCUGCCUGUGUCGUAUACGAGGACUCGAUCCUCCUUUUGGUCCAAAACAAAUCUCACACAUACCCUGCAACGAGCUCUACUCGGCCAGCAUGCACUACGACCACGGUCCAGUUUUGGCCAGCCUCCUUGCCCCGCCUGGGCCAGCGCGCCACACUGCCCCUCGGCCAGCCUGGGCACCGCAACCUACUGUGUUGGGCCUCGCACGGCCAAAUCCAUGCCAUUGCCAUCCACAGAUCGCCAAGAUUGCCACCGAUCGAAACGAUCGAUCUGGUCCUGCCGCCGCCUGUACGCAUCCGAUUCGAUCGGAUAUGUUGGCUCUUGCAUGUAUGCUGCUAUUCCGAAACAAUCCGUCACUGACAUGAAUCACAUCGUUGCUUCUGAUCUCCCGAUCCCUGUCAUGGCUCGGGUGCGAAGCCAACCACGAUCCAACUUGACGUUUCGCUUCAACCUCUAGAUCAACGAUUGCAACCUCCGAACAACCUAGCUCAUGAUACCACUUGUUAGAAUAAAUCCGAGGCAUACCGUCGAUCAUCCGAGGACCAAGCAAUCACACGAGCACAACACCGAGAUUUGUUAACGAGGUUCACCGAUAUGGCUACAUCCCCGGGGCUUGACUACGGGCGCUCCUCCCCGUGACACCGUCACAAUACCGCACUCUGGCCACCCGGGCGCCGGCACACGCCGCCGGCUCCCCCUUGCACGCUUGUGCUAUUAUGUUGGCAUAGGUUACAUCGUGUGUCUACCCCCGCUAUAUAUGAGAGGUCUAGGAUACAAGUGUCUUACUAGAACACGACUUCAUACCCUGUAAACACAAUACAACUACAAGUCCAACUGUAACCUACCUUGUACACAAUAUUCGACACAACUCUAACAUUUGUAGUUAGCUAGCAAAGACUCAAUUGCUGCAUUUUUUGACUGUACAUCUUCAUAUAGGAUUCGAUAGCCAUGCCCUGGAGAGAAAGCUCACAAAUUAGUGCAGUUAACAAGAAGCAAUUGAACCGAAGAUCUUACAAAAUGGCUUGCAAAUCUAGGUAUCAAACAGAAUUUCGGUAAUAUAUAUUAUGUAUACGGUACUUGGAAGGGAUGCUUACCAGGUAAAUACCACUUAAAAUCUAGGUCCAGUAACUAUCCAGUUGCAGAUUCACUGCAAGUUUGUGCGACAGAUAUACAUAUAUAUAUAUAUACAUACAUACAUAUAUAUAUAUAUAUAUAUAUAUAUAUAUAUAUAUAUAUAUAUAUAUAUAUAUAUAUAUAUAUAUAUAGAUCAACUAGGAUUUAGGUUUAACUCUAUGGUACAAUUGAAAGACUAAGGAGAAGAGGGUGGAUUGUACUACCUGAUUGCUUGCUGUACAUCCGAAAGAGAUUCAGUUGCUCUGAAUAUUCUGAUUUGCCACAUGGUCGCCAGUGUGAAUAGCGCCUUCAUGAGCGAAUCUUUUAAUGACGUAAUUACCAUCCAGCCAUCCUGCCUUUCCAACGAACAACAUACAAGCUUUGUUCUCUGAAGUUUAAGAAUAGUGCAACCAUCUUGCCUUUCCAAAGAAUAACAUAUAUAUUUUUAACCUUAAUAGUGCAGCCAGCUAGCUGUAGUGCACUUAUCUCUAAGCCCAGCUCCUCUUUAAUCCAUAAACUUAUCCGUAACCAAAGGCUAGACGUAUAUUCAACUAAUUCUAUUCAUUGAGUUGAGUUUCUUACUUCGGUAUGGCAUGGGGUAUAGUAAGUUCCAUUUCAAUGUUCCAGGGACCACUUCCAGUAAGUUUCCACUCGACAUCAGCAGUAAUGUCCACUACCUGUAUCAGCAUGGUUAUAGCGGUAGAUAAUCAGGGCAAAUAUCAUAAGCAAAUUACAACUUUAGAAUCUCUGAAUUCUAAUAGAUUUCUAAUAUCCUUCAAAACAUGAUGUGUGAGCGCUCUUUAGAUAUUCCAGUAAGUUUCUUUCUACAGGUGUUCUUACAUCUCCUGAAUGGAUGAUUCUCUUUGCAUUUCGGCCGCUCGGCCCACUUCCGAUGAUCCACUACAUCAUCACUGUUUGGUAACCGGAGGGGAGGCCGCAAGGCGGGACAGCCAGUAGCGGCAUUUUGUUCGGGGAUGCGUGGAUCUGGUGAUGCUGGAGCUUGGGAACAGGAAACAUCAUAUCCGCAAUGGCGUUUCAAAUAGCCAAUUUACCUUUCUCCCUAAAGGAUUCUUGCUCUGCUGUCAGUAUCACUGGUCUUGGGGUUUAGAUUUUGUCAAUAUCAAAAUCUGGGUACUUACCAGCAAACGAGUUGUUGAUCUAUUUACUUAGUCAAGUUCAUUUCUGCUAUGUUCUUCAGUCAAGCUUCAACUUCUAGCCUUGAUUAAAUGGCAAUGAUAUUCUCCAAAACCUACUAAUGUCAGAAAUCCUGCUACCCAACAGGAUGGUCUGCCAAGUGAUGUGAGCACUACUCAGUGUGUGGCAGACGUUCAUUAGGAAUGCAAACAAGAUUUGAGAUGUAGGUGUUGGUCAAAUUUUGGAAAAUUAUGGGUCUGCAGGUACAAAAUUACAUGUAGGCAAUUUUACGGUUUUCUGAGAUUAAAGAUUCAAGCAUGAAUGUGAAUAUAGUUCCAUGGUUUUUUUGCUGACAGGUUUUCUUAUAUUUACUUCUCUUUGUAUGAUAUUGGAAUUUAUAUGCUUACUUAACUGCUCAAAGAUAUCUGUUUUGUUUGUCGAUUGGAAGUUACCACAUUAAGCUUGAGUCCAUGUGAAUUGACACACUGUUUGGAACAAAAUAAAACUUAGUACUGUAGUACAGUUUGGUGGUUAAAUUACCCCUUACCUCGACAUUCUAAUAAUCUGUAAUAAGGAUAGUUCGCAUUGGUCAUGCAAGAUCACUUGCGGGAAAUUGGUGGCUUGCUGUUGUUGUGCUUCACAAUUUCUGUUGUUUCUAUUUAUUUUACAUUUUUUUAUUUACUGCAAUUUGCAAAACAGAAGUACUAGCAUAACUGGAAUUUCUGUUUGUGUUUUUUACAGAGGGAACAUAGUCUGAUGGGACAGCUCCUGAAUCAAUGUCACAUAAGGCAACAACAUAUUUGGAGUUGAAGGAGUUGAGAUGAGUUGAUCACAUCCUCAUGUGUCUUUGCAUGUUGCAACAGGGGUGGUGUACUUUUUUUUAUAGCAACAUUCCUACUUUAGAUAGAAGAACUUAUGGGGCACAUCAGAUGUACUGACCACUCCUUAGUCCCAAGAACGGGAGUAACAAUUUUUCUCAAGUUCUGCUGAUGUAUUGUACUAGAAGUCUGUUCAUCAAACUGCCUUAUCAACCAUUUGCUAUUAACCCUCAAA